rnacentral:rRNA from 1 species
UACGAAGGGGGCUAGCGUUGCUCGGAAUCACUGGGCGUAAAGCGCACGUAGGCGGAUUGUUAAGUCAGGGGUGAAAUCCUGGAGCUUAACUCCAGAACUGCCUUUGAUACUGGCGAUCUUGAGUCCGGGAGAGGUGAGUGGAACUGCGAGUGUAGAGGUGAAAUUCGUAGAUAUUCGCAAGAACACCAGUGGCGAAGGCGGCUCACUGGCCCGGUACUGACGCUGAGGUGCGAAAGCGUGGGGAGCAAACAGG